rnacentral:rRNA from 1 species
CCUACGGGCGGCAGCAGUGAGGAAUAUUGGGCAAUGGGGGCAACCCUGACCCAGCCAUGCCGCGUGAGUGAAGAAGGUCUUCGGAUUGUAAAGCUCUUUCGGACGUGACGAUGAUGAACGUUGCGUCUAAAGAAGCACCUGCCAACUCCGUGCCAGCAGCCGCGGUAUUACGGAGGGUGCGAGCUUUGUUCGGAAUUACUGGGCGUAAAGGGAGUGUAGGCGGAUAUGUAAGAUAGCGGUGAAAUGCCGGGGCUCAACCCCGGAACUGCCAUUAUGACUGUGUAUCUAGAGUAAUGGAGAGGAUAGUGGAAUACCAAGUGUAGAGGUGAAAUUCGUAGAUAUUGGGUAGAACACCGGUGGCGAAGGCGACUAUCUGGCCAUUUACUGACGCUGAGGCUCGAAAGCAUGGGGAUCAAACAGGAUUAGAUACCCGGGUAGUC